rnacentral:rRNA from 1 species
GACGAACGCUGGCGGCGUGCCUAAUACAUGCAAGUCGAGCGGAAGUUGGAGAGCUUGCUCUUCAACUUUAGCGGCGGACGGGUGAGUAACACGUGGGCAACCUGCCCUGCAGAUCGGGAUAACUCCGGGAAACCGGUGCUAAUACCGAAUAGUUUUCGCCACCUCCUGGUGGCGUACGGAAAGACGGUUUCGGCUGUCACUGCAGGAUGGGCCCGCGGCGCAUUAGCUAGUUGGUGGGGUAACGGCCCACCAAGGCCACGAUGCGUAGCCGACCUGGGAGGGUGAGCGGGCGCACUGGGACUGAGCCCCGGCCCAGAGUCCUACGGGAGGCAGCAGUAGGGAAUCGGCCGCAGGGGACGAAAGUCUGACGGAGCGACGCCGCGUGAGUGACGAAGGUUUUCGGAUCGUAAAACUCUGUUGUGGGGGAAGAACAAGUACCAACUAACUACUGGUACCUUGACGGUACCUCACCAGAAAGCCACGGCUAACUACGUGCCAGCAGCCGCCGCGGUAA